AACUCUGAACAAUGCCAAAGGUGUGUGCUUUGUCCUGUUGAGAGACUUGGCAAUUCACACAAGAAUAAUGGAUAAUAAAUGGGUCACUUGUCUCACAGAUUAAAAGCCACAGGGUCAUAAAUGGACAGCAGGAAGUCUAAAACCCAGCAGGAUGAUUAAAUGGCUCAGUUAUUUGACCAGAAAUUGAAACAGCACAGACAAGAGUAUUAAUUUUUAAUAUUAGUACAUCUCCAACCUCAUCACAUUGAGUGAUGAUUGAUAUAAAAAUGAAUGUGAAUCAUCACUGAAUGAAUGCCUUCUAUUAAAAUGUCAUGAUGUCACGUAUAAUUCGGUGUCCUGGCUCUGCCUCUGGAUCAAAUCCAAAUUCCAUUCCUGCAACUUGAGGAAAUCUGAAAUUUAAAAAGGCAGCUGGCAGAAAUAUAUUAUACAUACCUCCCAUCAAGAUCUGGGUAUUUGUAAACACCAUUUUCAAGUGCUUCAAGCAGCAGUGCACCUGUUACUCUGACAACUAGAACUGGGUCCACUAUGGGAAGAAUAGCC